ACUGUUCAUUGAGAAAGAGAGUAGAACAUCAACUCCGAAAUCAACAGAGGGGAAAACAGUUUGAUUUAAAUUCUACGGUAGAGGAAACGUGCCAAUCUCCCAGAAAUCAACAAAUCGAUGUUCUGCAUCUUCCAUUUAGAGCAGUGCCUGAAAAAAGAGGCAUUGGUACACAUGAAUCAACUGGCGAAAGAUCUUCUGUGGAUCUUCCGAAGUUGUCAUAUUCCCAGGAGCAGCGCAACUCUAGUAAUCCCGUGCGCACAAUUACAGGAGUCUUCCUAUCCAUCUCUAAAACUCCUCCCAACAAUUUCCAGUCUCCGGACCACGGCAUGAAACAUUGUAAAAUCCUAGAUCUCAACAAAUGUUCGACUUCUUGGAGUUUUCCGAGUAGUCAUGUAGGAACGACAAUGGGUCCAUAUUCCUUAUGGAACCCACCAAGACAAGCCCAAGAAAUAUCUUUGAAAAGCUGCAUUUCCGAUCCUCCAAGACAAGUUCGAGAUUUGUCUUUCGAAAGCUCCCUUUCUGAAUUGAAGAGUGCGGCAAGGAGUUUCAAAAACAUCCCAUCAAUUAUAAGGAAGCGGAAAACUCAAACGACGAACGGCAGAGAACAUACAAGCGAGACAGUCAGCACCUCGGCAAUCGGAGAAAACAAGGACGGUUUUAACAUGUGCCAAAUGGUUCGUGAUACUGAUGUUGCAAACAGCACUGAACAGUACAUUGCUAAGCAACUUUUGCCGUCUCCUCCAAAGUCUCGAAAGCUUGGAACUUCAGCUAUAGAAUCGGUUGGAAAGAACCUAGAGAAUGCAUUCAAUGCUGCUGCUGAAGCCACUGCCCCUCUUAGCUGAUGAAACCCAUAUGUUGAUCGGCGGACCCUGUAAAUUCUGUAUAGGAUUUGUUUUAUCGACAAAACUGUGAAAUUAUUCGGUUCGACUCUUACAAGUCACAAUCUCUCUGGUCUGGACUAUAUAUGCCGCCAAUGGAUUGACUGCUGCUUUCGCGAUUAUGGGUGCUGAGCGCUUCUUUAUGGGAAUAAAUCCGAUAAUUUAUGGGUUUUUUUGGCCCCUUGCUUUGCAGACAUGCUAG